GUGGGGAAUCUUGCGCAAUGGGCGAAAGCCUGACGCAGCCAUGCCGCGUGAAUGAUGAAGGUCUUAGGAUUGUAAAAUUCUUUCACCGGGGACGAUAAUGACGGUACCCGGAGAAGAAGCUCCGGCUAACUUCGUGCCAGCAGCCGCGGUAAUACGAAGGGGGCUAGCGUUGCUCGGAAUUACUGGGCGUAAAGGGCGCGUAGGCGGACAGCUUAGUCAGAGGUGAAAGCCCAGGGCUCAACCUUGGAAUUGCCUUUGAUACUGGCUGUCUUGAGUUUGGGAGAGAUGAGUGGAACUCCGAGUGUAGAGGUGAAAUUCGUAGAUAUUCGGAAGAACACCAGUGGCGAAGGCGACUCACUGGCCCGUUACUGACGCUGAGGCGCGAAAGCGUGGGGGGCAAACAGGAUUAGAAGCCCCUGUAGUCC
rnacentral:rRNA from 1 species